UUAUUUGUCAAACACAAUAUAUUUAUCAUGCUACGUUGCAUUCAGAAAGUAUAAACUACUACAGUAGUACAGUCUGGACCGCCGUGGAUCCACACAUACAUAGAAAAAUUGCAUCUUAACAAUUCACACACAAUCUUUAAUAAUUCAGUACACCAUAAGAGAAAAUGCUCUAAUCAUACAUCAGACAUCAGAACCAUGAAACUACUUAUUCAAUCACACCAAUAAUUUUCCCAUUAACUGUCUUUCAGUCUUCCUACUAAUGCCGAAUCGCUUAUCCCAAAAGCACAGGUUGUAAAAGUCAUAGGCUUCUCCCGAAGUAUCAAAACUCGUCCCCAAUGUCAGCACUAUGACAUUGUCCCCUGGAUUUUCCGAGAAACCUCGAAUUAUCUUCGGCAGCACCUGUCCUCACCCUGCAGUCAAUGUCACACGUGUAAAUAAUUGUAGUUCUCCAAAAUAUUUAAAACUGCUACACUCAAGUAUCACAUAAUGCGCCUAUUCGAGCAUGAUCAAGCUGUGUUGUUAGAUUCCAACAUCGAAACUGGUCGCCUUAUGGCAGCAUUGCACCAAACUUGUUUUCCCCCUGAGCUAUGUCUCUUUUUUGCUUCCUGUUCUAGCAUUUUUCACCUUUCCAAUCCUAAUGUGCCUAUUCAAGCAUGAUCAAGCUGUGUUGUUAGAUUCUAAUGUUUACUUAUGCUCCAGGGGUGUAUCCUCAUUUUUAUGAAUAUAGCAAUCAAAUUAAAAUCACACCCCGUUAAAACAAUCAUGGUUCAAUCCUAACACAGAACAGAGGACUGAAUAUACUUGAGCUGCAGCAUUCAGGAAUGCAUAGACUCUGAAUCUAUACUACAUGCGCUGACCAUUUAUUCAGCAGAUCACAUAUUCACAUACAUUACCAAAACCUAGCAGCCAUCCAUAGUCUUACUGCGAAGCCGUCAGUUCUGCAAAUUUCACCAACAUGGUCGGACGAUGUGGUGUGUGGCUGCAGGGGGGGACCGAGUGCAGCCGCCUCAAGAGCCCCUUCUCACCGUUGUCCUGUACGGGAGCAGCAUUUAAAAGCACAAUACAGAUCUGAAGUAGAAGAAUUUAUUCUUCUGAAUUCAUAUGGCAUGGUACUGCUCUGGACAAUGAUGGCACAUGUAGGAUGACAUAAUUUUCAGAAAUCUUUUCCAUUAUUAAUUGUUGGCAGAUGCAUCCAGUCAAGUACUUUAAGAGAAGCACACACAAAUGUAGUAGAAAGGAAAGAAGAAAACCUUGAUGAGUCGAACGACGCAGCGACAGAAGAGAUCGUACAACCUGUGAAAUACACAAAAAACAAGCGGUCAGAGCACAAUGACACACAGGCAUGCAAUGAACACUCGCCAGUCACGGAAGCAACAUAAUGGCCUAUUUACCCGAGGCAGCAAGCAGAAGCAUGUUGGGUUAGCAGCAGGACAGACGAGAAGAAGAAGCGCUGGCGACAGGAGAAAGACCAAAUGGCCAAAUGGCGCAGAGACCUGCUAAAGACAUGUUAAAUGGUUAAAUGGUUAAAAACUGACAUGUAAACAACAAACACAAACUAUAGCCAGUCAACAAAGCCCUUUUUUGCAAGGCCGGCAUCACGGCAGCCAUCACUCAUGGCCUGCCUUGGAGGCACGACACGAAGGUUGCCAAAGGUCAGUGCUACCGCAGAGACCCGCUACGAAGUUUAUUUUCUUAUGAAAAGAGAAGUUCUAGGAAGUGUCGGCAUUUCAAAACGGUUAUCCAUUUUCUUUCUAAUGCAAGAAUGUGCAUUAACUAUGGGUCACGCACUGAACGAAGAUUAAUGCAUUCAACAAUUUUGCAUUUGUAUUAGCUUAUUUUCAUACAGAUAUAUGAACCCUCCAAUUAGUCAAUUAAAUUUGACUGUACAUAAACUUUCAGCUACUGAACUAAAACCGAAACAGGAGAAAGCACACACACACACACACACACACACACACGCACGCACACGCACGCACACACGCUCGCAUAUUUUACAUUUCCUCCAAGAUCUGACUGAAUAUUAAAUAUCACCGACCGCUAAGAAAACAAAAGAAGUCACAAUGGGACUAUAUAAAGCAUUAUGUAGAACAUUUGGGCCGUACACAGAGCAGAGAGCCUAAUGCUUUAACUUUGAUGGAGUUAUCAAUUUAAGCUUUAAACACUAUUGUGAAGGAGCUUUACCUAGGUUGUAGCACCAGAGCACAUGAAUCCAAAAAAAAACUAACCCUUAGAAAUAAGUCCCAAGAGCCUAGUAUUUAGAAACCUAUAAGUCUGGGUAAACAUAAGAUCAUUCAUACACUUGAUCCGCUAAUAACUAAGCAACACAUAGUAGUUAUCUUCAUGCUAGUAAAGAGAGCCAACCAAACAACCAAUAUGCCUAUGCUUCAGGGAAGAAAAAAUUGCCUGAAGGAAUAACCUUGGCUGAUAAUUUAUAAAUACACCACGAAAAUCAUCUCCAAGUUUAACAGGUACAUGCUACUUUAAAUCAAAAGAACACAAAAGGAUCAUGUGUAACAUGGUUCUUACCUUCUGCCAUUUUGGAAAUUAUUGUACGCUGAAAUCUACAGCUUCUACUGGACAAUGAACAUGUGUUAAGAAGACAAGUAUAGUUUAGAAAGGUGUGCAUAACAAAAUAUAGAGCGCGUGUCCCCUCCUCCCAUCCUCUUCUACCCUGCAACAAUAGAGAGUAAAAAUUCUUCAGUUCUUCGGCUAUCUAUGAAUCAAGAUUUUGGUCCUAGGAUGCACAACCAAUAAAAAGCAUUAUAAUUUUGUAAGGUACGAACAGCUGUACCUUGAAGCACAAUCAACAUGCAGGAAUCAUCAUCUUCAUAAAGUAAUAAGUAAUCUUGGUCAUCCAUGCACCGACUGUAUCUUGCUUGCUAAUUUCCACCUGUGUCACAAAUAAGGCAAUGUCAUGUUCAGACUGAAGGUGAAAGAAGCACACAUUCAGUUUCUAAUUUAAUUUAGUACUAAUAAAAUCUCUAUGAAGAAGCAGACCAACUGCUGGAAAUAAACUAGCAUGGAACUAAAUCAGUGUCCACAAAACCAUAUAGAUAUGCAUGCUCAUCAAGCAUGUCAUACAUUUUACCAGAAUGGAAGCUUAGCUAGUGCUAGUGCCCUAACUCAAGAACCUCCAGCCCACAUAAUAGAAAUUCGUCCAUCUUAGCCAUGAAUUCACUUAAACAGGAGACAAAAUAAAUGCUUUCCUCAGACACAGUACACUGAAGAAACAAAAGUAUGCAGGCUGAACUGAUAAGCUCUUAUGACUGAACAAAGCCCAUCUGCAAACAUCAUCAUUUAUGGCAAGAAAAUACCUGAAUAAAGCCCAUCUGCAGUUAUAAUAUCAGUCCCCAGUUUGGCACUUAACUCUUAAGGCUUUAGGUCUCUAGACACAUCGAUAUGAUGUAUCCAUAUAUAUAAUCAUAGCAAUACACUGUUGGAAGAUUAAAAGAUAGUUCCGACGUAUUUUCCAGAAUUUUAUCUAGGAUGAACACAGGAGCUUGAAAGGAGGGCCAAUACUGGGUUCACCAUGCAACAUACCUGUGCACCAUCAACAAUGGCAUAAUUCGGACUUGCAGAUGAUCAUUGGGACAUGAAAAACAGAUAAAAAAAUGCAUUGAAAGCUUUGGACCUGAAAUAUAGAAGAUUGCCCCCUUGGUAUACCCAUGAGAAAUACACGUAAGCAUCAACCAAAUGCAAUCACAGUCAAGUAUGAUUUCUUUAAUCUAUUUAGUGUGCUUUUCAUGUACUGUGCAAGUAGCAAGGGGCUGUUCUUCAAUAAACAACAUCUUAUUAGCUUCAGAUGACGUCCAUUGACACUAUACUGCUAAUUUAAGUUAAUUAAGUUGUGAUCCUAAUAUUCAGGUAAAAAAUCACAUGGAAAGCUCAAAUUGAACCGGGAUUAUGGAUCUACAUAUUAUGACCUACCAAGGUUACCAUGACAAUGCAGAUAGUAUGGAGGCUAAUUUAAGAACGUAAACUAUAUAUAUAUAUAUAUAUAUAUAUAUAGAGAGAGAGAGAGAGAGAGAGACAUUUAAUGACAUCAAACAAUUACGGGUUGCAGUUUUAAACAAAAAUACAUGAUGGAUCAUUGCAUAUAACUACGAUUAUAAAGGUACACUAUGUUUUCUAACAAAUGAAAAGACAACUACUCUUACUGUCUAUAAUUAUAAUUCAAUUAUGUGUCAAUAAGAAAGCAACAAUCAUUGCGGAUACAUUUAUAAACUUCCAGUGAUCCUGUGAGCAUAUGCUAAUACUCCUUAACAUAAAUCUCACUUGUCAUCGCCAUCGUCUCUGUCUUGCUGGAAUCACAUCCUCUAUCUGCAAACUGAAACAAUAGCAACAUCAAAUCCCUCCUGAAGGUUUCACCCUGGACCUUCCCCCUGCUGAUCUGCAUAGGCAUGUCAUUCCGUUAACCAAGCAAACUCAACAAUCAACACCAUGCAUGUGAACUUCUUCAGGAAUGGACUGUGAUGCCGGGGCUGACCUCUCAUAAGGUACGUAGAACAUUGUACCAGUUACAUUUUUUAAGGAAAUAAGCUUGUUGGGAGUUAGAACUCCUUUGCAAUUUUCAAGAGGUGUCCGUAGUAGACAAGAUUUUCAAGCUAACUAAGUGGAAAUACAAAGGAUCUGAAAGAGCUGUAAUGCUUUGAUAUAUGAAAUCAAUGGCAUCUACAGCAGUACAGCACUAGUGACAUCUUUUGAGCAAUAUAUCCACCCGCCGGCAAUCUAUAUCUGCAGUUGAACAUUUUUACUUAAAUGCAAACGAGAACAAAGAAAGGUAUCCAAGUAGAACAGUUAUCUUUCUACAACCAUCCUUUCUAUCUUCCAAUAGAAUGAGAAAACAUUUUGAAUUAAAUUAACAAUGAUCUUGAAGCAAAAUGCAUGAAGUUGGUGUCAACCUGAUGCAUGUUACAGAUACUGGAUCCUCUCUUGUUUGGUAUUCCCUCAAAGCCUUACUGAACUUUCAUCAAACACCUUGCAGGCAUAGAUAAAAGAGAAUUUGCACAUGUAAAUAAAUGAGCUGAAGAGAAAGGGCAGGAGGCAAGGGGGAAAGCUAGGUGUGGCAUCUUCUGCUUUUCCAUGGCCGCCUGCACCUCGGGGUUGGUAGCUGCCCUCUGACAGAGAGAGGGAGAGAUGUAGAGGGAUAGAGAGAGGGACUCACCAACGCGCGGAGCUUGGCAGCCAAAGCGGAAGGGAAGCCGGCUCCAAUGACCUCCUCCGCCUUCUAUGCUAGUCACCACCACUNNNNNNNNNNNNNNNNNNNNNNNNNNNNNNNNNNNNNNNNNNNNNNNNNNNNNNNNNNNNNNNNNNNNNNNNNNNNNNNNNNNNNNNNNNNNNNNNNNNNCGGUAUGUAGGAUACCUUAUGAGGGAGAAUUAGAGGAACCCCAUCGUGAAGAUGUGGAUGGCUUCGUUAAAACUAUUGUUGUAGAAGAGCCAAAGAAGGGCUCUGAGGCAAAAGUCUCUAGCAUACACUUUCCUUUUUUUACGCUACUUUGCCAUAUUUGCUAGUAGAUGCUUGAUUGGUCAUGGAAAUAGUGGAAAUUUGAGCGUUCCAUAUAUUAUCAUUCUUCAACAUGCUUUGCUUGGGGACAAUACUUUUAGUAUGGGUGCCGUCGUUGCUAAACUGCUAGCCCUGAAUCGUACAAAAGGCCCCAUAUUUGGAGGUAUCUAUGUUGCACGUCUUGCUGAACAUUUUCAGAUACCCAUUAGGCACCUUGAGGAGGAGGAGACAAAACUACCUCCUCACAUUUUAGAUUACAAGAGCAUGGUAGCACACAAGUUUAUUGUUGACAACGAAGAGAAGAUGCUUCUGUAUAGACUUAGAUUCAAUAAGAAACACUUUGAGUUUAUUAUUUUGCCUGCACCUCUGUUAUUUGAUUUGCUUGCAGAAAGUCGUCUUGUCACACCGGAGGCCGUGAACAACCAUCUAGCCCAAGCUUUUACUCCGGAACCUGAACCUGAGCCGGAACCUGAAUUGGACCCUUAUCAUGCAUCAUCUGCCGAGUGGGAUCCGAAGAUAACCAGCCAGUGGUAUCCUGAUUACACCUCCCACUAUACCGGGGAGAGUAGCGGCGGUCCUUGGUAUUAAACCAACUUAGGACAAAAGCCUAAGCUUGGGGGAGUACGUAUUUCUCACCGACUUUACAUUCAUGUUCACACACUAGUCGUCGGUGCUCAUACUCUUUCAUUGUAUUAUACAUGCUAGUUUAAAUUUCUUUUUCUAGUUUUCUUCUUGUGUGUUCGAUAAACCUUAAGAAAAAACAAAAAAAAUAGUUAGUUUAAUUUCCAUGCUUGUAGUAGAAAUUAAAAUUAAAACCCAAAAAGAUUUCUCGUUCUUCUUUUACUUGUUGGGAGCUUUCCCGUGUAAAUAGUUUUAUUUUAUUUUAUUUCUUUUGGGGGUCGAGAAGACUAUAUUGAAAAUGCUUAGUGGCUCUUAUAUGCAUGAUUUUUUAUUUAAUUUAUAGCUCAUAUUACUUGUCUUCUCUCUUGAGUUAAAUUCUUGCAGAUUCCAGCUUAGUCCAAUGCACGUGCACUCUUAUUAUUAUACACAUCGUUCGAUCGUGCAAGUGAAAGGCAAUAAUGACGAUAUAUGAUGGACUUAUUGGGAUGAGAAAAGCUGGUAUGAACUCGACCUCUUUUGUUUUUGUAAAUAUGAUGAUCCAUCGUUCCUGAGUUAGCUAUUAUAAAGUAAACAUAUUUGCAAUGACAUUUAGAGAUUAUAGUUGCUUGUGCCAUGCUUGAUUUGCUAUGAGUUAUAAUGGUUUAUCUUGCGUGCCAACAUGCUAUUAGAAUGAUUAUGAUGUGGUAUGAUGGGAUGGUAUCCUCCUUUGAAUGUAUUAAGUGACUCGACUUGGCACAUGUUCAUACAUGUAGUUGAAUCAAAUCAACAUAGCCUUCAUGAUAUUUAUGUUCAUGGUAGAUUAUAUCCUACUCAUGCUUGUACUCGGUGUAAAUUAAUUUUAAUGCAUGUUUACGACUGUUGUCGCUCUCUCAGUUGGUCGCUUCCCAGUCUUUUGCUAGCCUUCACCUGUACUAAGCGGGAAUACUGCUUGUGCAUCCAAACUCCUUAAACCCCAAAGUUGUUCCAUAUGAGUCCACUAUACCAUCCUAUAUGCAGUAUUUACCUGCCGUUCCAAGUAAAUUUGUAUGUGCCAAACUCCAAACCUUCAAAUGAAAUUCUGUUUUGUAUGCUCGAGCAGCUCAUGUUUCAACUGGGGCUGCCCAUAUCUUCCAUGCUAUGUGGGUUAUUCUCACGAGGAGUGGACUCCGCUCCUCAUUCACGAGAAAGGGUCGGUAACCGGGAUGCCCAGUCCCAUGAUCCAAAACAAUCAAAGCAAAUCAAAAUAAUUAAACAAAACUCCCCCAGGGAUGUUGUAUGUUGGAGGCACUCGUUGUUUCGAGCAAGCCACGGAUUGAUGCUUGUUGGUGGUUGGGGGAGUAUAAACAUUUACCAUUUUGUUUGGGAACUGCCUAUAAUGCAUGUAGUAUGGAAGAUAGAGCCAUCUCAUAGUUGUUGCGUUGAUAGCGAAAGUAUGCCGCUCAAAAUGUUAUUCAAUCUCUAUUUUAAAAUCGAGCUCUGGCACCUCUACAAAUCCCUGUGUCCCUCUGCGAAGGGCCUAUCUAUUUACUUUUAUGUUGAGUCAUCACCCUUCUUAUUAGAAAGCACCCUCUGGAGAGCACACUGUCAUUUGCAUCCAUUAUUAUUGGUUUAUAUUGGGUAUGACUUGACUGGAUCUCUUUUACCAUGAAUUACAAUGUUUAGUCAGACCUUGAUCUUCAAAGGUGCUCUGCAUUUAUGUUUUGCGGUCUCAGAAAGGGCUAACGAGAUAUCAUUUUGUUAUAUCACGUUAUGAUUAUUUUGAGAAAGUGUUGUCAUCCGAGUUUUAUUAUUACUAGUUGACCCGUUGCGCCAAAUGGCGCAGAGACCCGCUAAAGCCAUGUUAUAGAUGAAAAUAGUUUCAUUUUGCAAGGACAUAUUCGAUAUUGAUAGUAGAAAGCCCAUGUGUUAAACCAUGUUACAUUGAAAAUAUGUUUACCACGAUGUGAAAUCCGAGUUCAAAAAAAAAUAUAACAUGUACUCCCUCCGUUCCUAAAUAUAAGUCUUUUGAGAGAUUUCACUAUGGACCACAUAUGAAGCAAAAUGAGUGAAUCUACACAUAAAAUGCAUCUAUAUACAUCCAUAUGUGGUCCAUAGUGAAAUAUCUACAAAGACUUAUAUUUAGGAAUGGAGGGAGUACAAACCAGCUAAGGAACCAUUGUUUCAAUUGCAAAUAUAGUUAUCACCAUGAGAAAUCUGAGUUAAAAAAAACAUAUUUCCAUAAGAUGUACAGAUUAAGGAUGUAUUUUUUAGCAGUAUUUGCACCAAACUUUUAUUUCCCAUGUGCACGAAACAUAAAACCUAUUUGCCCAUCAAACAAGACGCCGUCCAGCACGUUCCUACCGGCUCGGAUGAUAGCAAGAUAUGGGCCGGCAAAGUCGAGAUACGCACUGUUAGUUCAGAUGCGCACAUGAACAGAAACUGUAGAAACACCCGAAGAUGAACUGAUCGCCACCUCCGAUCCACCCACUUGGUUCACCGACGACUGCCCCAUGCACUUGCACACGACUGUGUACUGAAGAUCAUCUCUAGGAAAAACAGAGCAGCCAACCAAAAGCAUGUAGUUCAAAUUUUGAACUGAUGGAAGUUCUCUUUGGACGGGAGCAGACACCUGCUUACACCUCUCUGUAUACCAGAUUUCAGGGCAAGCAUCGUUAAGACUUGUUGAGCAGGCCGAAAGGAAAUGUGAAGAGUCAUUCAAUUUCUCAACAAAUUCAGACAUCAGACUUCUGGACAUAAGAACACCAGCAACGCCCACACAAAGCAAAGUUUUAGUGAUGAUUUACCCGCAAUUCUCAUAGACCUGACUACAUAGCACUAUUUUCAUUUAUUUGUCAAACACAAUAUAUUUAUCAUGCUACGUUGCAUUCAGAAAGUAUAAACUACUACAGUAGUACAGUCUGGACCGCCGUGGAUCCACACAUACAUAGAAAAAUUGCAUCUUAACAAUUCACACACAAUCUUUAAUAAUUCAGUACACCAUAAGAGAAAAUGCUCUAAUCAUACAUCAGACAUCAGAACCAUGAAACUACUUAUUCAAUCACACCAAUAAUUUUCCCAUUAACUGUCUUUCAGUCUUCCUACUAAUGCCGAAUCGCUUAUCCCAAAAGCACAGGUUGUAAAAGUCAUAGGCUUCUCCCGAAGUAUCAAAACUCGUCCCCAAUGUCAGCACUAUGACAUUGUCCCCUGGAUUUUCCGAGAAACCUCGAAUUAUCUUCGGCAGCACCUGUCCUCACCCUGCAGUCAAUGUCACACGUGUAAAUAAUUGUAGUUCUCCAAAAUAUUUAAAACUGCUACACUCAAGUAUCACAUAAUGCGCCUAUU
rnacentral:lncRNA from 1 species